GCCGGCAUAGCUCAGUUGGUAGAGCAGCUGAUUUGUAAUCAGAAGGUCCCGAGUUCAACUCUUGGUGUCGGCACCA
rnacentral:tRNA from 1 species